GCUUUCUUGCACGCGUUAUUUUUUUUUUCUUAUAGUUUUCGGGGUGGGGCAGGUUUGGUCUGGAAGUUUACCAUUGUACAAUUCUUUUGUUACCCAAUCCCAUCUUCAUAGUGAUGAUGUUUAAGGGGACGUUUUGAAAGUGAAGUUUAAGCUUUUCGCAGCAUUGCUAAAUCUGCACUUUACCAUGUGAAAUUAAAUGACAUGACCUUUGGACAGAUGUAGACCUUUUCUGAUAAGCUUCCAUGCUUUUGUUAUCUGGUGCCACAAUAAAGUCUGUGACGUACUUGCUACCUAUGUUGCUCGGACUCUCCGGAAAUGUUGCUGGGUGCGUGUCGGAUCCUCCAAAAAUAGUGUAUUUUUGGAGGAUCCGACACGGGUGCGGCAUCAUUUUGGAGAGUCCGCGCAACAUAACUUGCUACUUCUUUUGCCCCACUUUCCAACUUUUACUUUUCCAGUCCUUUGUUCUCUCAAUGUAUUGUUUUCUUGUAUGACUUGACCUUGUUGGUCCUUUAGAAAUGUGUGGAUAUAGACUACACGAUUUUGUUUCUCUACCACAAUCUGCGGUGCUCGUGUGAGCUUAUGCUCACCUUCUUGAGCUACAUACCAAGCCGAGUUCUCUUUGCCAACUGAACUGCUAUUACUGUUUUCAUUCAUGCAUCACAGCUAGACACUAAUGAUCUUUUUCAGUAGAGUCAGCCCCUAAAAUAUUCAUAUUCAUUGCAACACAAUCUAGUGCUUGAUUCUUUUCAUGUUUCUAUACGAAUAAUUUUUUGUGGAAAGCUUCUCAUCACUUUCUUGAUUUCUGGGGCCCUCUACUUCUCUUGCAGCUUGCACCGUCAGCAUUUGAUGCCACUGGAAUGAUUUUUGGCGCACAAGCACCGAGAGAAUAUGCUCAAGGAGCACAAUCCGAGUGGCUCCAUAUGCAGGUUGGUAGCAGCUUUGACAGAGGAACAUGACAGAUGCCGUAAUGAAUUUGAAUAUAGGUUAUUCAGGAAUACUAGUCUUCCACUUCAUCAUGAUGUUUGUGAGGGAACCUUGGCAUUGGAUCCUACAACUGUCCAGCAACUGUUCCACUAUAGAAGAAGCAUUCUUAAGUUUGUAAUCGUAAUCACCCUCAUUUCCAGUAGAAUUGUCUGUUUUAUCUUGUAUGAUCAAGGUCGUCUAACUCAGUGUACUUGUACUAUGUUGUAUUGGUAUAAGAAAUAGACUACGCAGACUUUCUUCCUGUACUAGGCACAGAUGCCUUCCCAUUCCGAACGCUCUGAACAUGCACAAUCUCUCAGAAUAUAUUCUUGCUCAAAGAACAUAUAACAAAAUAUAUAAGACAGCCAAAUAUGAAGGAUAGGGGAAGAACUUAUGAAAAAUGGCCUGAAAUUGGGUAUUUCUAUUUCCACAUUAGUCUGGAAGCUACUGGUUAUUUGUAAAGAUUGCGCAAUAAAACUCAUAAGGAAAAGCAGAGGUUUGGCAGGCAGCAGAAUAGGAUGCUUCUGUUGUUCGAGAGUUUCGUUUUUAGCUGUGGGCCUGGAGUAGCCAAACUACCUAGUUAGAGACCUAAAACUCGGUGGGUUUAUGCUUCACUAGGAAGCAUAAACCUAAGUCUAUUCUGAAG
rnacentral:lncRNA from 1 species